UCGUCACACUAUCAUUAACUGAAUCCAUAGGUUAAUGAGGCGAACCGGGGGAACUGAAACAUCUAAGUACCCCGAGGAAAAGAAAUCAACCGAGAUUCCCCCAGUAGCGGCGAGCGAACGGGGAGGAGCCCAGAGCCUGAAUCAGCAUGUGUGUUAGUGGAAGCGUCUGGAAAGGCGCGCGAUACAGGGUGACAGCCCCGUACACAAAAGCGCAUGUGCUGUGAGCUCGAUGAGUAGGGCGGGACACGUGGUAUCCUGUCUGAAUAUGGGGGGACCAUCCUCCAAGGCUAAAUACUCCUGACUGACCGAUAGUGAACCAGUACCGUGAGGGAAAGGCGAAAAGAACCCCGGCGAGGGGAGUGAAAAAGAACCUGAAACCGUGUACGUACAAGCAGUGGGAGCACCCUUUGGGUGUGACUGCGUACCUUUUGUAUAAUGGGUCAGCGACUUAUAUUCUGUAGCAAGGUUAACCGAAUAGGGGAGCCGGAGGGAAACCGAGUCUUAACCGGGCGUUAAGUUGCAGGGUAUAGACCCGAAACCCGGUGAUCUAGCCAUGGGCAGGUUGAAGGUUGGGUAACACUAACUGGAGGACCGAACCGACUAAUGUUGAAAAAUUAGCGGAUGACCUGUGGCUGGGGGUGAAAGGCCAAUCAAACCGGGAGAUAGCUGGUUCUCCCCGAAAGCUAUUUAGGUAGCGCCUCGUGAAUUCAUCUCCGGGGGUAGAGCACUGUUUCGGCUAGGGGGCCAUCCCGGCUUACCAACCCGAUGCAAACUGCGAAUACCGGAGAAUGUUAUCACGGGAGACACACGGCGGGUGCUAACGUCCGUCGUGAAGAGGGAAACAACCCAGACCGCCAGCUAAGGUCCCAAAGUCAUGGUUAAGUGGGAAACGAUGUGGGAAGGCCCAGACAGCCAGGAUGUUGGCUUAGAAGCAGCCAUCAUUUAAAGAAAGCGUAAUAGCUCACUGGUCGAGUCGGCCUGCGCGGAAGAUGUAACGGGGCUAAACCAUGCACCGAAGCUGCGGCAGCGACACUGUGUGUUGUUGGGUAGGGGAGCGUUCUGUAAGCCUGCGAAGGUGGCCUGUGAGGGUUGCUGGAGGUAUCAGAAGUGCGAAUGCUGACAUAAGUAACGAUAAAGCGGGUGAAAAGCCCGCUCGCCGGAAGACCAAGGGUUCCUGUCCAACGUUAAUCGGGGCAGGGUGAGUCGACCCCUAAGGCGAGGCCGAAAGGCGUAGUCGAUGGGAAACGGGUUAAUAUUCCCGUACUUGGUGUUACUGCGAAGGGGGGACGGAGAAGGCUAUGUUGGCCGGGCGACGGUUGUCCCGGUUUAAGCGUGUAGGUGUGUGUUCCAGGUAAAUCCGGUUCACUUUAACACUGAGGCGUGACGACGAGGCACUACGGUGCUGAAGCAACAAAUGCCCUGCUUCCAGGAAAAGCCUCUAAGCAUCAGGUAACAUCAAAUCGUACCCCAAACCGACACAGGUGGUCAGGUAGAGAAUACCAAGGCGCUUGAGAGAACUCGGGUGAAGGAACUAGGCAAAAUGGUGCCGUAACUUCGGGAGAAGGCACGCUGACACGUAGGUGAAGUGAUUUACUCAUGGAGCUGAAGUCAGUCGAAGAUACCAGCUGGCUGCAACUGUUUAUUAAAAACACAGCACUGUGCAAACACGAAAGUGGACGUAUACGGUGUGACGCCUGCCCGGUGCCGGAAGGUUAAUUGAUGGGGUCAGCGCAAGCGAAGCUCCUGAUCGAAGCCCCGGUAAACGGCGGCCGUAACUAUAACGGUCCUAAGGUAGCGAAAUUCCUUGUCGGGUAAGUUCCGACCUGCACGAAUGGCGUAAUGAUGGCCAGGCUGUCUCCACCCGAGACUCAGUGAAAUUGAACUCGCUGUGAAGAUGCAGUGUACCCGCGGCAAGACGGAAAGACCCCGUGAACCUUUACUAUAGCUUGACACUGAACAUUGAGCCUUGAUGUGUAGGAUAGGUGGGAGGCUUUGAAGUGUGGACGCCAGUCUGCAUGGAGCCGACCUUGAAAUACCACCCUUUAAUGUUUGAUGUUCUAACGUGGACCCGUUACCCGGGUUGCGGACAGUGUCUGGUGGGUAGUUUGACUGGGGCGGUCUCCUCCUAAAGAGUAACGGAGGAGCACGAAGGUUGGCUAAUCCUGGUCGGACAUCAGGAGGUUAGUGCAAUGGCAUAAGCCAGCUUGACUGCGAGCGUGACGGCGCGAGCAGGUGCGAAAGCAGGUCAUAGUGAUCCGGUGGUUCUGAAUGGAAGGGCCAUCGCUCAACGGAUAAAAGGUACUCCGGGGAUAACAGGCUGAUACCGCCCAAGAGUUCAUAUCGACGGCGGUGUUUGGCACCUCGAUGUCGGCUCAUCACAUCCUGGGGCUGAAGUAGGUCCCAAGGGUAUGGCUGUUCGCCAUUUAAAGUGGUACGCGAGCUGGGUUUAGAACGUCGUGAGACAGUUCGGUCCCUAUCUGCCGUGGGCGCUGGAGAACUGAGGGGGGCUGCUCCUAGUACGAGAGGACCGGAGUGGACGCAUCACUGGUGUUCGGGUUGUCAUGCCAAUGGCACUGCCCGGUAGCUAAAUGCGGAAGAGAUAAGUGCUGAAAGCAUCUAAGCACGAAACUUGCCCCGAG
rnacentral:rRNA from 1 species